rnacentral:rRNA from 1 species
UUAAGUGACUAAGCGUACACGGUGGAUGCCUAGGCAGUCAGAGGCGAUGAAGGGCGUGCUAAUCUGCGAAAAGCGUCGGUAAGGUGAUAUGAACCGUUACAACCGGCGAUACCCGAAUGGGGAAACCCAGUGUGUUUCGACACACUAUCAUGUCAUGAAUACAUAGUGGCAUGAGGCGAACCGGGGGAACUGAAACAUCUAAGUACCCCGAGGAAAAGAAAUCAACCGAGAUUCCCCCAGUAGCGGCGAGCGAACGGGGAGGAGCCCAGAACCUGAAUCGGCUUGUGUGUUAGUGGAAGCGUCUGGAAAGUCGCGCAGCAAAGGGUGAUAGCCCCGUACACUAAAAUGCACAGGUCGUGAGUUCGAUGAGUAGGGCGGGACACGUGACAUCCUGUCUGAAUAUGGGGGGACCAUCCUCCAAGGCUAAAUACUCCUGACUGACCGAUAGUGAACCAGUACCGUGAGGGAAAGGCGAAAAGAACCCCGGCGAGGGGAGUGAAAUAGAACCUGAAACCGUGUACGUACAAGCAGUGGGAGCACCUUCGUGGUGUGACUGCGUACCUUUUGUAUAAUGGGUCAGCGACUUAUAUUUUGUAGCAAGGUUAACCGUAUAGGGGAGCCGUAGGGAAACCGAGUCUUAACUGGGCGAAUAGUUGCAAGGUAUAGACCCGAAACCCGGUGAUCUAGCCAUGGGCAGGUUGAAGGUUGGGUAACACUAACUGGAGGACCGAACCGACUAAUGUUGAAAAAUUAGCGGAUGACUUGUGGCUGGGGGUGAAAGGCCAAUCAAACCGGGAGAUAGCUGGUUCUCCCCGAAAGCUAUUUAGGUAGCGCCUCGUGAACUCAUCUUCGGGGGUAGAGCACUGUUUCGGCUAGGGGGCCAUCCCGGCUUACCAAACCGAUGCAAACUCCGAAUACCGAAGAAUGUUAUCACGGGAGACACACGGCGGGUGCUAACGUCCGUCGUGAAGAGGGAAACAACCCAGACCGCCAGCUAAGGUCCCAAAGUCAUGGUUAAGUGGGAAACGAUGUGGGAAGGCAUAGACAGCCAGGAUGUUGGCUUAGAAGCAGCCAUCAUUUAAAGAAAGCGUAAUAGCUCACUGGUCGAGUCGGCCUGCGCGGAAGAUGUAACGGGGCUAAACCAUGCACCGAAGCUGCGGCAGCGACGCUUAGGCGUUGUUGGGUAGGGGAGCGUUCUGUAAGCCGUUGAAGGUGGCCUGUGAGGGUUGCUGGAGGUAUCAGAAGUGCGAAUGCUGACAUAAGUAACGAUAAAGCGGGUGAAAAGCCCGCUCGCCGGAAGACCAAGGGUUCCUGUCCAACGUUAAUCGGGGCAGGGUGAGUCGACCCCUAAGGCGAGGCUGAAAAGCGUAGUCGAUGGGAAACAGGUUAAUAUUCCUGUACUUGGUGUUACUGCGAAGGGGGGACGGAGAAGGCUAGGCUAGCCGGGCGACGGUUGUCCCGGUUUAAGCGUGUAGGGGGUGUGACCUGGUAAAUCCGGUUNCGAACGAUGGAAACAUCUUCGGGUUGUGAG